UGCACUGGUGACAGAGCCUGUGGCAUCUGCUCGGUGUGGGCUGGCUGUUUCACAGGGAGUGACAGGAAGGACACCCAUGGCUGGAGACAGCAGCACUUCCAGGGCAUCCUCCCCCUCUCCAGGGUGACCCCAUAGUUCCUGUACCUGUAAUUCAUUAAUUUAGGGGUAUUCAAGAGCACAUUCUGAUGCCAAACUAAGGUUUCCAUGCAGCCAAAUCCCAGCCCAGGGAAGAUUGGGAAUGUCUGGGGUAGAGGGUUUAAAUAUCAAUGCAAACACUUCCUAGAUAUUUUCUAAAUAUCUGAAAUACAGAAACCAUCCUUGACUGCUCUGAAUUUCCUCCUUCUCUCAGAAAUGAACACAUUUUGCCUGGUGAAUAUUGCACUGGCUCGGUUUUGUGAAGGACACACAUUUCCCCCAGGUGAACACGAGGAACUGCUCUGCGUGAAACAGAGCAAACUCCCCCCUCCCUUUUUCAAUUGGAGAAGUUCCUCCUCCACUGGCGGCUCAGAACCGGGUCCCUGCUGAAGGAUUGGGUGUGCUUGAAGUUUGACAGAUUCACCUGUGCCUGCAUUUUUCAGUCCUGAGGAGAAGUUGGACGAACUGCAGAGCGAAUAAUUCUUCCUGCCUUCAGAGCCUCGUGAAAGCUCCCAGCUGCCAUCAGACAUUAUUCCCUGGGGAACACCAGGAUCCCGUCCAUGGGUGACUUCAGGUUUUUUUUUUGUGUUCAUGAUAGAAAGGUGGGAGGGCAGCAGAGAAACUGGGCUGCCAAAAACAGGGGAGGGAAGAGACACAAAGAAUAAAUUCUACAUCUUUCGUGUGAA